rnacentral:rRNA from 1 species
CGCAUCUUGCAUGCAGCAUAUCAAUAAGCGGAGGAAAAGAAACUAACAAGGAUUCCCUUAGUAACGGCGAGUGAAGCGGGAAGAGCUCAAAUUUGAAAUCUUCAAGGUUUUACCUUGACGAAUUGUAGUUUAAAGAAGUGUUUUCUGUUGAAGUUUUGGUAAAAGUUCUUUGGAGUAGGACAUCAUAGAGGGUGAGAAUCCCGUAUUUGACCAUUAUUUUCAGCUGUGUGAUACACUUUCAAAGAGUCGGAUUGUUUGGGAAUGCAGUCCAAAAUGGGUGGUAAAUUUCAUCUAAAGCUAAAUAUUGGCGAGAGACCGAUAGCGAACAAGUACCGUGAGGGAAAGAUGAAAAGAACUUUGAAAAGAGAGUUAAACAGUACGUGAAAUUGUCAAAAGGGAAGCGUUUGACACCAGUGUUGUUUUCUCGAAAAUCAAUUAAAAAGAGUUUAGAUUUUGUUGUGUAUUGACCUUAACAGCUUGCAUUUCAAUUUUCUUGCUUUUUUUAAUGCACUUUUCGUUUAACAAGUCAACAUCAGUUUCUUUUGUUGUAAAAAGGUCAUUGGAAGGUGGCUUUCUUUUCGGAGAAAGUGUUUAUAGCCUUUGACUCCUGCAAUCGGAGAGACUGAGGUCUGCAGCGUAGAUCCUUCGGGGUUAGAUACAUUUGUGCUAAGUUAUAGCUUUUUAUAGACAACUUGUUGACUAUGAUUAGUCUUGUAGCUUACUCGCUUAUGCUAUUUUACCUACGCUUAGGAUGUUGACACACGCGCGUGCUCG